rnacentral:rRNA from 1 species
AGAGACAGCAGCCGCCGCGGUAAUACGUAGGUGGCGAGCGUUGUCCGGAAUUAUUGGGCGUAAAGGGAGCGCAGGCGGACAUAUAAGUCCAUCUUAAAAGUGCGGGGCUCAACCCCGUGAGGGGAGAGAAACUACUCAUCUUGAGUGCAGGAGAGGAAAGCGGAAUUCCUAGUGUAGCGGUGAAAUGCGUAGAUAUUAGGAAGGACACCAGUGGCGAAGGCGGCUUUCUGGACUGUAACUGACGCUGAGGCUCGAAAGCCAGGGGAGCGAACGGGAUUAGAUACCCGCGUAGUCCCUGUCUCUUAUACA